ACUGCUCAGUAACACGUGGACAACCUGCCCUUAGGUUGGGUAUAAACCCGGGAAACUGGGUAUAAUACCCGAUAGGUCUCGAUUGCUGGAAUGCAUCGAGAUUUAAAGCUCCGGCGCCUAAGGAUGGGUCUGCGGCCUAUCAGGUAGUAGUGGGUGUAGCGUACCUACUAGCCUACGACGGGUACGGGUUGUGAGAGCAAGAGCCCGGAGAUGGAUUCUGAGACACGAAUCCAGGCCCUACGGGGUGCAGCAGGCGCGAAAACUUUACAAUGCUGGCAACAGCGAUAAGGGAACCUCGAGUGCCAGGUUACAAAUCUGGCUGUCGAGAUGCCUAAAAAGCAUUUCAUAGCAAGGGCCGGGCAAGACCGGCGCCAGCCGCCGCGGUAACACCGGCGGCUCGAGUGGUAACCGUUAUUAUUGGGUCUAAAGGGUCUGUAGCCGGCCGGAUAAGUCUCUUGAGAAAUCUGGCAGCUUAACUGUCAGGCUUUCAGGAGAUACUGUCUGGCUCGAGGCCGGGAGAGGUGAGAGGUACUUCAGGGGUAGGGGUGAAAUCUUGUAAUCCUUGAAGGACCACCAGUGGCGAAGGCGUCUCACCAGAACGGACCUGACGGCAAGGGACGAAAGCUAGGGGCACGAACCGGAUUAGAUACCCGGGUAGUCCUAGCCGUAAACGAUACUCGCUAGGUGUCGGCCACGGUGCGACCGUUGUCGGUGCCGUAGGGAAGCCGUGAAGCGAGCCACCUGGGAAGUACGGCCGCAAGGCUGAAACUUAAAGGAAUUGGCGGGGGAGCAC
rnacentral:rRNA from 1 species